UUAAGAAUUAUUCAAACAAGGAGUGGAAAUGAUUCCGAGCAAUGGGUGAGUUCAAGAAAUAUAAAAUCGAGUAACACCUUCAUACUAUUUUC